UAAGCAUAUCAAUAAGCGGAGGAAAAGAAACCAACAGGGAUUGCCCUAGUAACGGCGAGUGAAGCGGCAACAGCUCAAAUUUGAAAUCUGGCUCUUUUAGAGUCCGAGUUGUAAUUUGCAGAGGGCGCUUUGGCUUUGGCAGCGGUCCAAGUUCCUUGGAACAGGACGUCACAGAGGGUGAGAAUCCCGUACGUGGUCGCUGGCUAUUGCCGUGUAAAGCCCCUUCGACGAGUCGAGUUGUUUGGGAAUGCAGCUCUAAAUGGGAGGUACAUUUCUUCUAAAGCUAAAUAUUGGCCAGAGACCGAUAGCGCACAAGUAGAGUGAUCGAAAGAUGAAAAGCACUUUGGAAAGAGAGUCAAACAGCACGUGAAAUUGUUGAAAGGGAAGCGCUUGCAGCCAGACUUGCUUACAGUUGCUCAUCCGGGUUUCUACCCGGUGCACUCUUCUGUAGGCAGGCCAGCAUCAGUUUGGGCGGUAGGAUAAAGGUCUCUGUCACGUACCUCCUUUCGGGGAGGCCUUAUAGGGGAGACGACAUACUACCAGCCUGGACUGAGGUCCGCGCAUCUGCUAGGAUGCUGGCGUAAUGG
rnacentral:rRNA from 1 species